rnacentral:rRNA from 1 species
UACGGGGGGGGGCAAGCGUUGUUCGGAAUUACUGGGCGUAAAGGGCUCGUAGGUGGCCAACUAAGUCGGACGUGAAAUCCCUCAGCUUAACUGGGGAACUGCGUCCGAUACUGGAUGGCUUGAGUUUGGGAGAGGGAUGCGGAAUUCCAGGUGUAGCGGUGAAAUGCGUAGAUAUCUGGAGGAACACCGGUGGCGAAGGCGGCAUCCUGGACCGGCAUUGACGCUGAGGCGCGAAAGCCAGGGGGAGCAAACGGG